rnacentral:rRNA from 1 species
CGGCGGACGGGUGAGUAACACGUGGAUAACCUACCUAUAAGACUGGGAUAACUUCGGGAAACCGGAGCUAAUACCGAAUAAUAUAUUGAACCGCAUGGUUCAAUAGUGAAAGACGGUUUUGCUGUCACUUAUAGAUGGAUCCGCGCCGCAUUAGCUAGUUGGUAAGGUAACGGCUUACCAAGGCAACGAUGCGUAGCCGACCUGAGAGGGUGAUCGGCCACACUGGAACUGAGACACGGUCCAGACUCCUACGGGAGGCAGCAGUA